GAGGCUAUGCUGGAGAUGAGGUAAUGGUCUUGUGAUGGUGGAGUGACGUCAUUUUCCAGCCAGUGAGAGGUCAUGUGGUAGUUUUUGUUUACAGGGUAUAAAAGGAGAACACCACCCUAUGACGUGGGCAGUUCGUGGCUGAAUUCACCACUGACUCCACGUUGCUGCGUAUUCUGAUAUUAUGACACAAUUUUGUUUAAAAGUGGAGUUUUACUUUGUUUUAAGUCUCAAAGGUUAUUGCCGGCAGUUUCGCUAUAAUACUGCCAGUUUGGUCAGUGGAGAGUGAAGAUUUUAAAGGAGUUCGGAAAUCCCAAAGGAUUGGGAAAGUUAAUGUCGAUGGUGAAACAGAUUCGACCUUUGUUUAGUCUUCACACGAGGAAUUAGUAACGAGUAUCCAUGAUAACUCCUGUUCAGCCGGAAGAGCAGAGGGUUGGACAAAGUUUCAUCAAAGAAAGUCUCAAAGGUUAUUGCCGGAAGUUUCGCUAUAAUACUGCCAGUUUGGUCAGCAGAGAGCGAAGAUUUUAAAGGAGUUCGGAAAUCCCUAAGGAUUGGGAAAGUUAAUGUCAACUGUGAAACAUUCGAUCUUUGUUUAAUCUUCGCACGAGGAAUUAGUAACCAGUAUCCAUUAUAACUCCUGUUCUGCCAGAAGAGCAGAGGGUUGGACAAAGUUUCAUCAAAGAAAGGUCAGUGCCUUUAAGCCGUUUUAUUUCCUUUGAUCGUAAAUCCUCGGGGAAUAACAUACUUUGGCUGGGAUCAGCAGUAACUCCACAAAAGAGGGUUUAAGUCAUUUCAAGAAGUUUCUCCUUUAACAGACUGUGUAGGCAUUUGGACUUUCGCAUUAUUACUUCUCGGAACUGUUUUCGCAUUCUCGCUUUAAGAACUGUUUUCGCUUUCUCGCUUUAAGUACUGUUCAAGCUGCCGUAUCGCAGCUGACUUCCGGUUAAGUUAAUCGUUAAUGUUUACUUUUGGGUUUUUUUACAGUGCUUAAUAAAUGUUUUAUUUGUUAUAAAGAAAACCUGUCUCAAAUCAUAUAUUCAUUGUUGCUGAUUUGUAACACUACAUCCAAUUGUUUUUAUUGCCACAAAUCCAACUGACAAUUUGAAACAGUUAUACAGGUCACCCUGUUCCACAUUCGGAGUGCAAAAUUACAAGAACGUGAUGAUUGAAGUACAUGUUUCACACGCCAUAAGCUUAAACUGCCGUACUUUGAAAUUCUUGGCCUUCUCCUAUCAGAGUUGGGUUAAAUGAGUUUUUUUAUUUACUUUUACUUAGGGGUUGGAGUUGUAUUCCAAUGCUAAUAAAAUCCAAUAUUUGGACAUAAAUAGCUUUCUCAUGUGGAUAGAAUACACCAUGAGGUUACUAAACAGCAUAAAAGCCCCUAGUUUGCAGGAAAAAACUAGCAUGAAUAGAAGAUUGGCUGACUGGCAAGAGGUAAAGUGUGGAAAUGAAGGGGGCCUUUUCUGGUUGGCUGCCGAUGACUAGUUGUGUUCCUCAGUGGUCAGUGUUGGGACUGCUUCUUUACACAUUAUAUCUCAAUGAUUUGCAUGAUGGAAUUCUUGGCAGCAAACGUAACAGAGCAGCUCUCUUGGACCACCAACACACCCUUGAUCAUUGGGAAGGCUCAGCAGUGCCUAUCAGAAUCUGAAUCAGGAUUAAUAUCACCAGCAUGUGUGGUGAAAUUUGUUGACUUUGCAGCUACAGUACAAUGCAAUACAUAACAGCAUGGAGAGAAAAAACUGUGACUUGCAGUAUAUAUAUAUAACAUAGUUAAAUAAGUAGAGUGAAAUAAAGAAAGUGAGGUGGUGUUCAUGGGUUCAAUGUCCAUUCAGAAAUCAUAUGGCAGGGAAGAGCCUGUUCCUGAAUCAUUGACUGUAUGCCUUCAGGCUUCUAUACCUCCUUCCUAAUGGUAGCUUUGAGAAGAGGGUAUGUCCUGGGUGAUGGGGGUCCUUAAUGAAGGAUGCCUCCCUCCUUGAAGAUGUCCUGGAUACUUUGGAGGCCAGUGCCCAUGACAGAGCUGACUAAUUUAACAAGUCUCUGUAGCUUCCUUCGAUCCUGUGCAGAAGACCCCCUCAUACCAUUCGGUGAUGCAAUCAGUUAGAAUGCUCUCCAUGGUACAUCUGUAUAAAGUUUCAAUUGUUGCCUAUGUCAUCUUAGGUGUUUGAAAAGAGCAAAUCUGCCCCAAAAGCUGCUGGCAAACUUUUACAAUUGUGCCAUUGACAGCUUACUGACCAAAUGCAUGGCAGUACGGUACACAAGCUGCAAUAUGGUCAAUGAGUGAUCAGGACUACACAGAACAUCACUAGGACACAACUACCAGAUUUGGAAACCAUCUACAACUCACACUGUCUACAGCGGGGUUGUAACAUCAUGAUGGAUUCAUCCUACCCCAGUAAUCACCUGUUCAAUUUCCUACCAUCCAGAAGGAAAUACAGAAACAUCUCUGAUCAGAUAUCAGCCUGAAAAAAAUGUGCAAUAUUAUGGCUUAAGUAGGGCAGCUAUUUUCCUUUGAUUUCAGAGCUCUUCAUUUUUUAAAAAUUUUAGUUCAAUUCUUGAUGCAAUUUAAAAUGUAAUCAUUGUAUUUUAUAACAUGGACAUGUGCAACACUUGAAUGGGGCAGCCAUGGUUUGUUUUAAGUUUAGUGUUGUUUGUUUUCAAUUUAGUUGUAACUUAAAAUGACAUUCUAAAUAACUCAGACAUUAUUUUAAAUUUAGUCAUUGGGUUUUUAGUAGUUAUAUUGCCAGUAUUGCAACCUUGUUGCCUGAGUGAUGACAAUAAGUCUCUAAAAUCAAAAUCAAAAAUCAAAUGGAAUUGGUGGCUUUGGGGCCAAGUUUGUGGAUGAUAUGAAGAUAGAUGGAGUGGCAGAUAGUGUUGAGGAACAAGGAAGUCUGGAGAUAUGGACAAAGUAGGGGAAUGGGUAAAGAAGUGGCAUAUGGAAUAUAGUUUAGGAAAGUGUAUGGCCACAUAGUUUGGUGGAAGGAAUAAAAUCUGACUGUUUUCUAAAUGGGGAGAAAAUUCAGAAAUUAAAGUUGCAAAGGGACUUUGAAGUCUUUGUGCAGGAUUCCCUAAAAGUUAAUUUGCAGGUUGAGUCAGUGGUAAGGAAGGCAAAUACAAUGUUAGCAGUGGUUUUGAGAGGAUUAGGAUAUAAAUGCAAGGAUGUAAUGCUGAGGCUUUACAAGGCAUUGGUCAGACCACACUUGGGAGUAUAAUGGCAGUUUCGAACCCCUGAUCUAAGAAAGGAUGUGGUGGCACUGGAGAGGAUCUAGUUGAGUUUCAUGAGAAUGAUCCUGGAAAUGAAAAGGUUAAUGUAUGAGGAGUGUUUGAUUGCUCUGGAUUUGUACUCACUGGUGCUUAGAACAAUGAGGGAGGACCUCAUUGAAGCCUAUUGAAUAUUUAAAGACCAAGAUAGCGUGGAAGUGAAAAGUAUGUUGGUGUGACUAGGACGAGAGAGCACAGCCUCUGAACAGAAUAAUGUUCUUUUAGAUUAGAGGUGAGGAGGAAUUUCUUUAGCCAGAGGGUGCUGAAUCUGUGGAAUUUAUUUCUACAGAUGGCUGUGGAAGCCAAUUCAUUAGUUGAUUCUUAUUAAGUAAGGUGUCAAAGUUUACAGGGAAAAGGCAGAAUAAAGGGGGUGAGAGAGAUAAUCAAUCAGCGAUUAUGUAAAGGUGGAGCAGACUCGAUGGGCUGAAUGUCCUAAUCACACCCCUGUGUUUUAUGGUCUUAAUAUGCUUCAGGUAAGAUGGCAGCAUGCUCGGAUGCAGCAGCUAAUACAGGGCCAACCAAGGGAGAUAUUGACUUUUUAAAAUGUUUUUUUAAUGACCUCAAGAGCCUGCUGGACAUUAAUAACUUGAAGUAUUGCAGGUCUACAUCGUCAGCAGGUUUCUCGUUAGUGGAGAAACUGAAGGAGCUGGACUUGGUGUGGGUUGUGCUGCUGCCUGCAUCAGUGGGGUGUUGGAGAGGGUGUGUGAAGGAGAUGCGCAGUCCAACAGCAAAUGAUCAUCUUAGUGGUCACUUUUCUUGUGAUUGAAUGACCAUGUUGGACAUUGUUAAUCUGGAAUGCCCAAGUCUACUUCACUUGUUUAUUCGUGAAUGACGGGGAUGGUUGGCAGCAGAGCUCCAUGGCUUUGGUCAUAGCCAGGACUAUGCCUCAAACCACGGUGUUAUCUGUAUGCAGCCACCCAGUAGAGAGGCAUCAGAGUUGGUGUGCCUGAGCCAGUGUGGUCAUUCAGCCAUAGACAAGAUGUAUUGUGUUCGACUUCAGACUGCUGCAACUUUCAUGGACUUUGGUACUUGGACUACAUUUCUUUUUGUGUGACUGUAUUUUCCUGCUGUUUUAUAUGUGCUACGUGUGCCUUGUGAUGUGUGUGACUGUUGGUACUGUGUUUUGCACCUUGGCCCCAGAGUAACACUGUUUCAUUUGGCUGUAUUCAUGUACAGUUGAAUGUCAAUUAAACUUGAACUUGAAAGUUAAUGCAAGGAUUUUCCAAAUCUUCUAUAAAACAUAUUCAAACAUCAGCAAAAUUCCAGGGGAGAAAAAGGAUAUCAACAUAUUAGCUCUGUUGCAUAACAGUGCAUGUACGGAAUGUCACAAGAUUUCUACAAUAAAUUCCAAAAAAUUGUUUCAAGUGUUUUAUAUUGGUUGAUGCAAAUAACUAUAUUUGUAUAGCUUAACUUUGGAAAACACAAUGGAAACUAAUAUAAAUAGUUAUUAUCUCUGAGGAUUUUACAGGGAUGAACAGUUCAUGCUGGAUAAUCUCAUCCAAGGAACUAAUACAGUAAGUUCAGCAAUGACUCAAAAUUAUUUGUAGCAAGAGUAUAUUCAUGCAAAACUGCUAGUGAGUAUUUUUCACAUAAAAGGUACUAAACUCCCAUGCUAAAUAGCAUGUCCUAUAAAAUGUAUGUGUUCUAGAUUUCUAAUAUAUACAUAAAUUUUUACAAUGGCUAUAUCAUGUGUGGGCACUGAAGUAUUAAUCUUUUGACUAACAUUCUGCCAUCUAAUAAUUGUUCUACGGAAGUUGUAGUUUGCUUCAUUCAGAUGAUAGGGUUAAUGUCAAACUAAUGUUGCUUCUAUCUUACUUGGCACAAAUCAAAGGCACUCCAAUUCACUUUACAGUAAUGCAAACCAUGGAUUAAUACAAACAAAAUUAGUUAGCCCUGUAAUAUUGAAAGUUUCCUUGACUGUAAUUUCAGUUGAACAAUUAUUAGAUUGUAGCAUACACACAAAAUUAAUCGGCACCGAUGUAUUCAAAUAGAGUCAUUCAUGAGUUGCACACAUUGUCAUGAAAUGACAGUCCUCUUUCAGGAAGGAGUGGCAGAAAACUCAAAUUUUCUAAAUGUUUUUGGAAGACUCUUAUUUUAUUAUUCAAAUGUGUUUUGCAUCUGCAUCUCAUUAAUUUUGGUUUAUUUGUGUGCAAAUCCCAAAACCACCUCUGUAAUUCCUAAUUGAUGAUGCUCAUAUUUAUCUGAAUGCCUAAGAGUUGAACGUCACACAUUCAGUAGGAAUACUCACACUUACAGUAGAAGAUCCCACAGACACAUGAAUUUGACAGAUUUAUAAAAGAUUAAUAAAUCAGCUGCAUUAACUUUGAUUUUGACCAAAGUCUGAAACACAAAUUUUGCAGGCAGGAUGAACUUAAGAGGUAUUAAAUACAAAAAUAUGAUUAUAACAUUACAGCAACCAGCAUUACAUCACAAUUAAACUAGAUCACAAUCAUGAUAUCAGCUUUAAUCUAUUUACAUCUUUUUACCUCAAAAAUUACUCUGUAAAGAUUUCUUGAACCAUAUUUCAUUUCAUUUCCGGUUAGUGUUUUUAAGUCUGUAUAGUGUGAAUUCUGUAAGUCACAGUGACUUAGCAAAAAUGUUGCUGGACUGCAGGAUGCUUGACAUUCUGCAUAUAUGCUGGAACUGAGCAACUCUCAAAGAAAAUUAACAUAAAUAGCCUUUACAAAAUGUUUUAAAACCUGUUUUUUGUUGUUGCAUAAUACAUACAAUGUAUCUCAUUUUAAAACCAGCAUACUAAAGUUCAGCAAAAAUAUCUGUUCACUGAAAGUUUGAUCCCAUAAUCAACUGACUCCUGUAUAUGCAAAGUUACAAUAGAAUCACAUGUGGCUUCUUACGGCACUAUUUUAAAAAAAAAUCAGAUUACUUUCUCCAUUUUAUGCUGGUUUCUGCCUCGCAGAAAGCUAAAACUAUCAUGUUCUGCACACCUAGGCAUCUAGCUUAGGUCCAAGUUCGCGAACCUGGUUAAAACUCCCAAAUCUCUUUUACAUUGAAGAGUUUUCUUAUGUUGGCCAUUACAGAUCUCUCCCAAGAAUCCCCAAUGUUCCCAUACAUCCCCCUUUCUCCUGAAGGUGCUGGCUAAGUUAAUUACAAAGGUUUGAAAUAUCAGCCCUCUGAAAUAUCAAGCUCAAGUGGCUUUUUGGUUCAUGUGAAUUUUGACAUAUAUAGCUAAUUGUAGAGUUCUACU